UCGGGUUGUAAAGCACUUUUGUCCGGAAAGAAAACUUCGGCCCUAAUACGGCGGGAGGAUGACGGUACCGGAAGAAUAAGCACCGGCUAACUACGUGCCAGCAGCGCGGUAAUCGUAGGGUGCGAGCGUUAAUCGGAAUUACUGGGCGUAAAGCGUGCGCGGGCGGUUCGUUAAGACAGAUGUGAAAUCCCCGGGCUUAACCUGGGAACUGCAUUUGUGACUGGCGAGCUAGAGUAUGGCAGAGGGGGGUAGAAUUCCACGUGUAGCAGUGAAAUGCGUAGAGAUGUGGAGGAAUACCGAUGGCGAAGGCAGCCCCCUGGGCCAAUACUGACGCUCAUGCACGAAAGCGUGGGGAGCAAACAGGAUUAGAUACCCUGGUAGUCCACGCCCUAAACGAUGUCAACUAGUUGUUGGGGAUUCAUUUCCUUAGUAACGUAGCUAACGCGUGAAGUUGACCGCCUGGGGAGUACGGUCGCAAGAUUAAAACUCAAAGGAAUUGACGGGGACCCGCACAAGCGGUGGAUGAUGUGGAUUAAUUCGAUGCAACGCGAAAAACCUUACCUACCCUUGACAUGGUCGGAACCCUGCUG
rnacentral:rRNA from 1 species